rnacentral:ncRNA from 1 species
CAGUACAAACUGAGCAGGCGAUGCCCGUAAGGGCGUGGGGCCGGGCCGCUUUGCCGGCGGCAGCAGAUUGCAGCUUAUGCACAUCUGUGGGACAGU